rnacentral:piRNA from 1 species
UAAGCCCAGUCAAAUAGAGAUUUCACCAUC